rnacentral:lncRNA from 1 species
AUUACAAUACUGUGAUUAACUGAGUCGCUGAAAUUUUAUUUCCUGACGUACAUGAUCAGAAUGCAUAUUAAGCUGUUCUAUUAGCGGCUUCAGUGUGUGUGUGUGUGUGUGUGUGUGUGUGUGAGAGAGAGAGAGAUGUGGCAAAAUACUGGAAACGAUCAGUUAGUAUACUGAAAUAUAAAUCAUAAUACUCUAACAAAGUUAUCUUUGAGAGGAGGUGUAGUAUAGACUAUAGUACGUACAGCAGACAACAGUAAGUAAUACAUAAUUUCUUUUUCAGGAGAAGUGUGCGCGAUGGCGAUUGGAACAGUGUGUGGAUGUUUAGGUUUGGCACUGAUCGUUCGCGUUAUUGUGAAAACCAUACGCUCCACCUCUAGUUGGGAUGUCCUGCCCACAGUGAGAUCGACUUCUUCACCCAGAGCUAAGGAAACCAACCAGGAGAAAAAAGAGGAUGUGGUUUUCAAGACAACCUCUGAUUCAGAAAAAGAAGAGGUCCCACCCCACUCAGAACCUUGAGUCCUCAUGACCCUUCUGACCCGAGUACCUAUUUUCCGUCUGUGUCCUUUUUGCUAGAAUGUUCUUUGACAAGACCUCCUUUACCUCUGAAGCCCUGACCAACACUUACCUGGAAUCUGAUCUCUUUUGUCCUAGUAUGAUGCACAUGCCCCACUGCCCCCUUCUCCUAAUAGCUGUCAGUAGGAGGCAUUGGCUGCAAUGUCAGUGACACCAGCAGUGACAUGAAGCACAUCAUGCUGACCUGUGAAGCAGUAAUACUUGCGUGCUGAUCCAGUGUGAGGGCAAAGUAUAUAUGUAUAUACUGUACUUUAGCAUUUUAAUAAACAAAUCAAAGCUCCAGACCA